UACGUAGGGUGCAAGCGUUAAUCGGAAUUACUGGGCGUAAAGCGUGCGCAGGCGGUUAUGUAAGACAGAUGUGAAAUCCCCGAGCUUAACCUGGGAAUUGCGCUUGAAACUAGCGGGCUUGAGUGUGGCAGAGGGGGGUGGAAUUCCACGUGUAGCAGUGAAAUGCGUAGAGAUGUGGAGGAACACCGAUGGCGAAGGCAGCCCCCUGGGUCAACACUGACGCUCAUGCACGAAAGCGUGGGGAGCAAACAGG
rnacentral:rRNA from 1 species